CAAACGCAAGAGAGUACAAGCAACAAAAGAAUCUGGUAGCAAACCGCAAGAUGCUAUUAAGCAGAACCAACAAUAGCCAGAUAUGACUGAACUCGCCAAGGGUCUCCCAAUUAAUUGGCAGCAUUCCCAAUUGGAUCCAUCAGAUGUCCUUCAUCUGAAACAAACUGAGCUCAAUGCAUUUGUAGAAGGCUUGUAUCCAACGCCAACAAACCGAAUAAACACUUCGUCCAUAUCGGUCAUUCCACCGAACCCCAUUGAAGACAACAAAAUAGAGGACAUACUAAGGAAGCUUGUUAAUUCCUCAUGCCAACAUUAUCUUUCUCAACAUUGUAACUCAUCCAUUGCUCCAAGUUAAGGUGCAAAGAAAGACUAAUGUCUAAAGACAAACUUCCUAUAUCAAUGGAAAUUUUCUUUAUUUAGUAUA